ensembl:lncRNA
CCGGGCUCCUCCCCGCCGCCGCAGCGAGUCCAGGCUGCAGGACCAGCGUCGUCGCCCUGCCUGCCACCCCAGAGAAGGCCCACCAGCCGACCCGCCCCCACCUCAGAAGUCUGGGCCCAACCCUGCCCGGGAACCCCUGCUCCUGGGUUCUAACGAUUCCCAACUGUGUCCCAACCAGGUAGAGAUCCAUCUGUUCCUGCCUUGGAAAAUUCCGGAAACUGAGCUAGCUGAGGGCGCCGCCGGGAGCACUCCUGAGAUAACCUCCAAGUAAAAGCCCAGGAGGUGGAUCCUAAAGGGAAGAGAAGAGGAACUUCCCUGGGGGUCCUGUGGCUAAGACUCCACGCUCCCCAUGCAGGGGGUCUGGGUUCAAUCCCUGGUUGGGGAACUGAUCUCACAUGCUGCAACUAAAGCUCUUGCACACGGAGAUGAAGGUCAAAUAUCCCGCGUGCUGCAAUACAGACCUGGAGCAGCCAC